AGUGAACGCUGGCGGUAGGCCUAACACAUGCAAGUCGAACGGCAGCACAGUAAGAGCUUGCUCUUACGGGUGGCGAGGGGCGUACGGGUGAGGAAUACAUCGGAAUCUACUUUUUCGUGGGGGAUAACGUAGGGAAACUUACGCUAAUACCGCAUACGACCUACGGUUGUAAGCAUAGGAUCUUCGGACCUUGCGCGAUUGAAUGAGCCGAUGUCGGAUUUGAUAGUUGGCGGGGUAAAGGCCCACCUAGGCGACGAGACGUUGCUGGUGUGAGAGGAUAGUGAUCCACACUAGAGCUGAAACGCGGUCCAGACUACUACGGGACGGAGCAGAGGAGUAUGGUAGACAGGGGGAGGGAGGCUGGUCCAACCAAACCACGCCGGUGAAAGAAGCCUUCGGGUUGUAAAGCCCUUUUGUUGGGAAAGAAAAGCAGCAGGUUAAUACCCCGCUGUUCUGACGGUACCCAAAGAAUAAGCACCGGCUAACUUCGUG
rnacentral:rRNA from 1 species